rnacentral:rRNA from 1 species
UGCAGUCGAGCGGAACGAGUUAUCUGAACCUUCGGGGAACGAUAACGGCGUCGAGCGGCGGACGGGUGAGUAAUGCCUAGGAAAUUGCCCUGAUGUGGGGGAUAACCAUUGGAAACGAUGGCUAAUACCGCAUAAUGCCUACGGGCCAAAGAGGGGGACCUUCGGGCCUCUCGCGUCAGGAUAUGCCUAGGUGGGAUUAGCUAGUUGGUGAGGUAAUGGCUCACCAAGGCGACGAUCCCUAGCUGGUCUGAGAGGAUGAUCAGCCACACUGGAACUGAGACACGGUCCAGACUCCUACGGGAGGCAGCAGUGGGGAAUAUUGCACAAUGGGCGCAAGCCUGAUGCAGCCAUGCCGCGUGUGUGAAGAAGGCCUUCGGGUUGUAAAGCACUUUCAGUCGUGAGGAAGGUAGUGUAGUUAAUAGCUGCAUUAUUUGACGUUAGCGACAGAAGAAGCACCGGCUAACUCCGUGCCAGCAGCCGCGGUAAUACGGAGGGUGCGAGCGUUAAUCGGAAUUACUGGGCGUAAAGCGCAUGCAGGUGGUUUGUUAAGUCAGAUGUGAAAGCCCGGGGCUCAACCUCGGAAUAGCAUUUGAAACUGGCAGACUAGAGUACUGUAGAGGGGGGUAGAAUUUCAGGUGUAGCGGUGAAAUGCGUAGAGAUCUGAAGGAAUACCGGUGGCGAAGGCGGCCCCCUGGACAGAUACUGACACUCAGAUGCGAAAGCGUGGGGAGCAAACAGGAUUAGAUACCCUGGUAGUCCACGCCGUAAACGAUGUCUACUUGGGAGGUUGUGGCCUUGAGCCGUGCUUUCGGAGCUAACGCGUUAAGUAGACCGCCUGGGGAGUACGGUCGCAGAUUAAACUCAAUGAAUUGACGGGGCCGCACAGCGGUGGAGCAUGUGUUUAUUCGAUGCACGCGAGA